GACGAACGCUGGCGGCGUGCUUAACACAUGCAAGUCGAACGGUGAAGCGCCUUCCUUUUUGGUGGGUGUGGAUGAGUGGCGAACGGGUGAGUAACACGUGAGUAACCUGCCCCCUUCUUCUGGAUAACCGCAUGAAAGUGUGGCUAAUACGGGAUAUUCUGGGUCUGUCGCAUGAUGGGUCUGGGAAAGAUAUUGUUUCGGUGGGGGAUGGGCUCGCGGCCUAUCAGCUUGUUGGUGGGGUGAUGGCCUACCAAGGCGGUGACGGGUAGCCGGCCUGAGAGGGUGGACGGUCACACUGGGACUGAGACACGGCCCAGACUCCUACGGGAGGCAGCAGUGGGGAAUAUUGCACAAUGGGCGCAAGCCUGAUGCAGCGACGCCGCGUGAGGGAUGGAGGCCUUCGGGUUGUGAACCUCUUUCGCCAGUGAAGCAGGCCUGCCUCGUUUGUGGGUGGGUUGAUGGUAGCUGGAUAAGAAGCGCCGGCUAACUACGUG
rnacentral:rRNA from 1 species